rnacentral:rRNA from 1 species
AUUGAACGCUGGCGGCAGGCCUAACACAUGCAAGUCGAACGAGUGGCGGACGGGUGAGUAAUGUCUGGGAAACUGCCCGAUGGAGGGGGGUAACUACUGGAAACGGUAGCUAAUACCGCAUACCAUCGGAUGUGCCCAGAUGGGAUUAGCUAGUAGGUGGGGUAACGGCUCACCUAGGCGACGAUCCCUAGCUGGUCUGAGAGGAUGACCAGCAACACUGGAAUUGAGCAACGGUCCAGAUUCCUAGGGUAGGCAGAGGUGGGGAAUAUUGCACAAGGGGCGCAAGCCUGAUGCAGCCAUGCCGGGUGUAGGAAGAAGGCCUUCGGGUUGAAAAGUACUUUCAGCGAGGAGGCGUUACUCGCAGAAGAAGCACCGGCUAACUCCGUGCCAGCAGCCGCGUAAUUC